rnacentral:rRNA from 1 species
GGGAUGGAGAGUUUGAUCCUGGCUCAGGGGGAACGCUGGCGGCGUGCCUAAUGCAUGCAAGUCGGACGGGAGCGCGCGAUGAGCGCGCCGACCGUGGCGGACGGGUGCGUAACACG